AGGGUAAUAGCUCAGUGGUAGAGUGCCUGCUUAGCAUGCACGAGGUCCUGGGUUCAAUCCCCCAUACCUCCA
rnacentral:tRNA from 1 species